rnacentral:rRNA from 1 species
GACGAACGCUGGCGGCGUGCUUAACACAUGCAAGUCGAACGCUGAAGCCCUUCGGGGGGGAUGAGUGGCGAACGGGUGAGUAACACGUGGGUAAUCUGCCCUGCACUCUGGGUUAAGCCUUGGAAACGGGGUCUAAUACCGGAUAGGACACAUCGCCGCAUGGUGUGUGUGUGGCAAGGUCCGGCGGUGCAGGUUGAGCCCGCGGCCUAUCAGCUUGUUGGUGGGGUGUUGGCAUACCCAGGCGACGACGGGUAGCCGGCCUGAGAGGGUGACCGGCCACACUGGGACUGAGACACGGCGCUGACUCCUGCAGGGGGCAGCAGGGGGGAAUCUUGCGCUAUGGGCGACAGCCCGACGCAGCCACGCCGCGUGGGGGAUGACGGCCUUCGGGUUGUAAACCUCUUUCGACCGGGACGAAGGAUUCGUUUGACGGUACCGGUAGAAGAAGCACCGGCUAACUACGUGCCAGCCGCCGCGGUAA